UGGGUGUCCAUCAGUACUUAUGGGGAGCUGCACAACUGUGAGCUGCAGCUGAGUUCACAUCAACACCCACAGGAUGAAGGACACACUCUCACUGAUACUGCUACUCAGCACCAUAGCAUUGGUGAGAAGCCAAAGCAUGGAGUCCAUUCCCUCCAGUGCAGUGCUGAAGAAACCUGGUGACACUCUCAGUCUCUCCUGUAAAGGAUCUGGGUUUACUUUUGGAAGUUAUGGCAUGAACUGGAUCAGACAGCCUGCUGGGAAAGCACUGGAGUGGAUAGGUUAUAGUGGCAGCUAUGCCGACAGUGUCCAAGGACGCAUAGAAAUCACCAGAGACAACCCCAACAGCAUGGUGUAUCUGAAACUGUCUGGUCUGAGGGCAGAGGACUCUGCUGUGUAUUACUGUGCAAGACAGGCACAGUGA